rnacentral:rRNA from 1 species
GUGGGGAAUCUUGCGCAAUGGGGGAAACCCUGACGCAGCAACGCCGCGUGGGUGAUGAAGGCCUUCGGGUCGUAAAGCCCUGUCAGGUGGGAAGAAACGUGCUGAUACGAAUAAUAUCAGCAUUUGACGGUACUACCGGAGGAAGCACCGGCUAACUCCGUGCCAGCAGCCGCGGUAAUACGGAGGGUGCAAGCGUUGUUCGGAAUUAUUGGGCGUAAAGCGCGUGUAGGCGGUCGAGUAAGUCAGAUGUGAAAGCCUUCCGCUUAACGGGAGAAGUGCAUUUGAAACUGCUUGGCUAGAGUACGGGAGAGGAGAGUGGAAUUCCCGGUGUAGAGGUGAAAUUCGUAGAUAUCGGGAGGAACACCAGUGGCGAAGGCGGCUCUCUGGUCCGAUACUGACGCUGAGACGCGAAAGCGUGGGGAGCAAACAGGAUUAGAUACCCUAGUAGUCC